GGGGAAUAUUGCACAAUGGGCGAAAGCCUGAUGCAGCAACGCCGCGUGAGUGAUGAAGGUUUUCGGAUCGUAAAGCUCUGUUGCCAGGGAAGAACGUCCGUUAGAGUAACUGCUAACGGAGUGACGGUACCUGAGAAGAAAGCCCCGGCUAACUACGUGCCAGCAGCCGCGGUAAUACGUAGGGGGCAAGCGUUGUCCGGAAUUAUUGGGCGUAAAGCGCGCGCAGGCGGCUGUUUAAGUCUGGUGUUUAAUCCUGGGGCUCAACCCCGGGUCGCACUGGAAACUGGACAGCUUGAGUGCAGAAGAGGAGAGUGGAAUUCCACGUGUAGCGGUGAAAUGCGUAGAGAUGUGGAGGAACACCAGUGGCGAAGGCGGCUCUCUGGUCUGUAACUGACGCUGAGGCGCGAAAGCGUGGGGAGCAAAC
rnacentral:rRNA from 1 species